AACGUAGGUGGCGAGCGUUAUCCGGAUUCAUUGGGCGUAAAGAGCUUGUAGGCGGCAUCAUAAGUUGGACGUGAAAACUCCGGGCUUAACUUGGAGAGGCCGUUCAAUACUGUGGUGCUGGAGGGUGUCAGAGGGAAGUAGAAUUCCUGGUGUAGCAGUGAAAUGCGUAGAUAUCAGGAGGAAUACCCGUGGCGAAGGCGGCUUCCUGGGACACAACUGACGCUGAGAAGCGAAAGCUAGGGGAGCAAAC
rnacentral:rRNA from 1 species